GUGGGGAAUAUUGCACAAUGGGCGAAAGCCUGAUGCAGCAACGCCGCGUGAAGGAUGAAGGUCUUCGGGUCGUAAACUUCUGUCCUUGGGGAAGAAACAAAUGACGGUACCCAUGGAGGAAGCCCCGGCUAACUACGUGCCAGCAGCCGCGGUAAUACGUAGGGGGCAAGCGUUAUCCGGAAUUAUUGGGCGUAAAGAGUGCGUAGGUGGUCUUUUAAGCGCAGGGUUUAAGGCAAUGGCUCAACCAUUGUACGCCUUGCGAACUGGAGGACUUGAGUGCAGGAGAGGAAAGCGGAAUUCCUAGUGUAGCGGUGAAAUGCGUAGAUAUUAGGAGGAACACCAGUGGCGAAGGCGGCUUUCUGGACUGAAACUGACACUGAGGCACGAAAGCGUGGGGAGCAAACAGGAUUAGAUACCCUAGUAGUCC
rnacentral:rRNA from 1 species